CACGUAGGGGGCAAGCGUUGUCCGGAAUCAUUGGGCGUAAAGCGCGCGUAGGCGGCCAGAUAAGUCCGGUGUGAAAGUCAAAGGCUCAACCUUUGAAUGCCGCUGGAAACUGUCUGGCUAGAGUCCGGGAGGGGCGAGUGGAAUUCCUGGUGUAGCGGUGAAAUGCGCAGAUAUCAGGAGGAACACCAAUGGCGAAGGCAGCUCGCUGGAACGGUACUGACGCUGAGGCGCGAAAGCGUGGGGAGCGAACAGG
rnacentral:rRNA from 1 species